rnacentral:rRNA from 1 species
GAUGAACGCUGGCGGUAUGCUUAACACAUGCAAGUCGAACGGACUCUUCGGAGUUAGUGGCGGACGGGUGAGUAACGCGUGAGAAUCUGGCUUUGGGUUCGGGACAACCACUGGAAACGGUGGCUAAUACCGGAUGUGCCGAGAGGUAAAAGAGAAAUUGCCUGAAGAUGAGCUCGCGUCUGAUUAGCUAGUUGGUGAGGUAAAGGCUCACCAAGGCAGCGAUCAGUAGCUGGUCUGAGAGGAUGACCAGCCACACUGGGACUGAGACACGGCCCAGACUCCUACGGGAGGCAGCAGUGGGGAAUUUUCCGCAAUGGGCGAAAGCCUGACGGAGCAAUACCGCGUGAGGGAAGAAGGCUCUUGGGUUGUAAACCUCUUUUCUUAGGGAAGAACAAAAGGACGGUACCUAAGGAAUCAGCAUCGGCUAACUCCGU